GCAGAGUGAGCCCCUCAGCCCCGAAUCUGGAGUGGCCGCGGCCGGGAAACAGGAACCCGGGUUUAUUAUUAGCCGUCGGGGAAGAGGGGCCGGCAGCAGGUACAACUCCAUCCUGGGACUCUUACGUAAUAAAGGGUGACCGGGCAUGCUGGGUGCACGUGGACGCGCGGUGCUCCCGCAGUGGCCCUGGCCUUGGUCAGCUAUGGGGGGAGGGGAGCGUCAGAGGCUUUUGCCUCCCUCCUGGCGGGGUGGGAUCUUUCCCAAUCUUUCCUUUAACAGUGGUUGCCGGGGAUGAAGAGGGGCACACUAUCAGAUCUGCUGAUUCUUUGAAGAGAUCUGCAAGUGGCAAUGGGGAGAAGUCCAUUUUUGUCCAAGUCGGCUACACAGUGAUGCUGGAGAGCCUGGGCCAUGUGGCCUUUUGGCUGCCAAGAGGCCAGGAGAGGGUGACAGUAGUUAGGUCUAGUCUUGGGUGUCUUUCACCAUUUAACAGAGAAAUGGGGAGGUGUCUAAUUAUUUUUGAGGGUGCUUGUGUGAAGUGUUCCUUUCAAAAGAUAGUUCUUAAAGCACUGGGUCAUUUAAUAGGGCCUAAGCUAUGUACCGAAUCGCUGGAUUUAACUUUUAAGAGCCUUGCACCUUGAAUUUCACUUUGAGACUUCCAAACCACAGCCUAUUUAAUUUUUCCCAUCUCAUGUCCCUUGCCAUAUUCCUCAUCCACCAGUCCUCUCUGGCAGUCCUACAAUUAUGUUCAAUAAGAUUCAAGCUUCUCAUUUUAAAUCCCUUUUCUCGGCCUGAAACGGUGGCUCACGCCUGUAAUCCCAGCACUUUGGGAGGCCGAGGCGGGCGGAUCACAAAGUCAGGGGUUCCAGACUAGCCUGGCCAACAUGGUGAAACCCGGUCUCUACUAAAAAUACAAAAAUUAGCCGGGCGUGGUGGCCAGCGCCUGUAAUCCCAGCUACUCGGGAGGAUGAAGCAGGAGAAUUGCUUGAACCCAGGAGGCGGAGUUGCAGUGAGCCGAGAUCGUGCCACUGCACUCCAGCCUGGGCGACAGAGCAAGACUCUGUCUCAAAUAAAAAAAAAAAAGAUCCCUUUUCUCUAAAACUUAACAGAGGUCUCUGUCCCUAGUACAGUUUUUUCCCACGGGACAAAAAAUGCCUAAGGAAGGGAGAACAUAAUAAAGGGGUUUCUUUCUCUCCCUCUUUCUUUCACAUUAAGACCUACACUUAAAUAUUUUCCAUAGAAAACCAUCUUCCUAAUUGUCUUUUGAAUGAAAUUCUGACUUGGUGCCACAAGGACUAAUCUGUUGACAAAAAACAAACAAAACAAAACAAAGUCAGUGACCCUUGGAGACAGACCUAAGUCUGAGGACCCACUACCCCAAAACGUAUUAGCUCUACAUCACAGCCCAUGUUUUCUUACUUGCAAAACUGGGAUAGACCUAUCAGGGUUUUGAAGGAAGAUCAAUGGAAAGAAAAAUACAGGGAGGCAGGAAGCAUUAUAUAACUUUGAAGCAUUAAAAUAAUUUCACCUUCCUUCUCUGCACACAUAGAAACUUUUCUAGCCUCAGUUUCUUUAUCAAAAAAAUGGAGCUUGUUCCAUGGGCCGUGCCAAGGACUUUGAUUAAGUUUAAAUAUGAUAAUGUAAAUAAAAAUCACUAUGUAAAUUGUAAAGUACAAAGAUUAAUUGUACUUGAUACAGGACCUCAUCAUAGUGAGAGGUGUUUAUGUGAAGAGUCAGAAACCUUAAAAGUGUGGAAAUUGCCUAUGAUGAGCCACAGAUCCUUCCACCCAACCCCCAGUGCUUAAGCAGGAAAAUAAUAUAAAAUAUGUCCAAUGAGAUUGAAAGAGCACUGCAAGAAGAAAACUCGAGAAAAACAGAUAUACAGUUUCUAGUAGCUGAUCUUCUCAUAAAUUAAAGCGUACUUUGUCCCCCUUCCUGGACCCAUUUGGUAUUUUAAGUACGUAUGCACCCGGAUGAAAACUCGGUAUUCAGACUUAACUUACUAAAUGCCAAAAUCUUGCCUCUUUUUCUCUUCUUCCCAGUUCCAACAGUGUGAUAACACACGGAAAACGGAAAUCCAAGGGAUCUAGCAAAAGGAUUCCACCCAGCAAAAACGCCAGCUUGGGAGAGGGCCCCUACCUAACUCCUUCCUUCUGGCCUCCACCCCUCCCCUGAUACGUUUCCUUCCGUCUAGUCUCGAGAUAACCCUUCAUCCCCCAGUUUCUUGACUCUGGCCGCUGUUCUUGAACAUUUCUUAAACACUUUCAGAGAAAGAUGGCUCAUGCACCUGCCUGCAAAACUUCCCAAACCGGGCCUCCCAGCUCCCCCAGACCCCGCAACAACUCACACCCGCCGGGGAAACUCCAGAAGGAAAAGGUCCGCCGGCCAGAGCUCUGGGCCCUUGGAAUCACCCCACCACCGCCCCUCUGGCUUCAGCCAAUCAGAAGCCGUCAGAAAAUAUUAUGCAAAUGAAUCCUGAUGCUCCAGCCAGUCAGAAGCCGCGGAGCCCUCCCCCACGCAGCGUCCUCUUUCACCCCAGCCCCGCCAAGCUGGCUGCCGCGUCCCUGGCAACCGGCGCGCAGCCAGUUCUCCACUACGCUUGGCUGUAAAAAAAUUAAAAUGGUUGCCUGGGGUCACAUGGGAGGGGAGCGGGCUGGCCCAGGCCUAAGGAAGGUUGGAAACCUCACUGAUUGCCCCAGGCACCUUCCCUGUCCCGAUCUGGAACAGGCUGGAGGUGCUGAGCCACCUGCCCGGAAUUCAGUUUGCCUCCAGAAAACAGAAGUCAUCCGUUGAACAAAUAACUUUCGAGUCCUUGUAGCACGCCAACAGCCUCAAAGCAAGAGGUCUUUGGUCUCUGCUUUCUAUCCUAUAUGCUAAAUUUCCGGUAAAAGCCUUGUCUGAGGUACCCAUCCCCACUUCUUGGUUCACAGUUGCAAUUCUGGAAUUCUGGAUCUCUUUUUUUUUGUUUUGUUUUUUUUUGAGACGGAGUCUCGCACUGUCGCCAGGCUGGAGUGCAGUGGAGCAAUCUCGGCUCACUUCAACCUCUGCCUCCCGGGUUCAAGUGAUUCUCCUGCCUCAGCCUCUCCAGUAGCUUGGACUACAGGCGCGCACCACCACGCCCAGCUAAUUUUUAUAUUUUUAGUAGAGACGGGGUUUCACCAUGUUGGCCAGGAUGGUCUCGAUCUCUUGACCUCUUGAUCCGCCCGCCUCGGCCUCCCAAAGUGCUGGGAUUACAGGCGUAAGCCACCAGCGCCCUGCCGGAACUCUUAAAUUCUGGUUCUUAAUUCCCACUCUUUUAAUUAAGCAACCUGGAAAGCAUGCUUUGCUGGCUCAUCUCCCCAAAAAUGUCCACAAAUUAUCCUUGUACUGUGUCCCUUGGAUAGUUUUUUUUUGGGGGGGGGGAAUGACAUUUUAAAAGUGACCAGAAAUUCCUGAACAAAGUAGUCAGCAAGAGUAAACUGGUGCAAGAAAGUCAGACUGGAUAAAGAAGAGAUCUGGCCUAGAACUGGAAGAAAGAUGAUAUUUUAAGGCAAGAAGCCAGCCCAACCCAAGAUAGCAGAGAUCCUGGAUUAUUUUGAGACAGACUUAGAAGGAUCCAUUUCAUGAAAAAUGUCCUAGAAAUAUGACAGUCAGACUCUCGUGUUAAAGGCCAUGUAGUCCAACCAUCCACUUGUGCUGAAAUCGCUCACAACAUCCCCACCAAGUGGUCGCCCUUGCCUACAUUCUUCUAUUUUCCGUUCUCCAGUGUUCUUCUAUCUUUUGGAGCUCUACAGAAGGCCAUGAAGCACACCAUCAGAUGUUUGAAGGAUAUUAUGAGAGACCUUGCUAAGUGCCUUGCUGAAGUCCCAAGCUAAUAGCCAGUUUUCUUCCUGUGGAGUCAAGAAGAAGGGCAUUUUUGUCAUAUACCACAAAGAAACCACCAUCACAUGAUACAAAAAUGCAGAAAUAGCAUCAUAAUAAUCUGAGUUAAGAUGGGGAAGGGAGUGUAUCUUAUUGUAAUUGUCCUUACAGGAAAAACCGUCAUGAAGGUUUAGUUGAGAGAAGGUAGACAGAAAAAUGCCAAAACCUAAGAACAGUGAGUAGUGAAUCUGCUGGCUUCAGAUCCACUUUCAGGUUUUGGAAUGUCUGAAUAUGUCGUAGUUAGCAUUUUGUCACAAUCUCAUUUUUUAAAGCGUCUUUAGCCUUGCGUUUGGAAGAAGUAGAGCACAGGGAAAGUUGAGAAUACUAAAGAAUACCUUUUGUUAUGUUCUCAUCAUUUCUACAUCUUUAAGAACUCUGAACCGUAUACAGAACUGUACAUUCAAUUUCAAUAUGGUAGAUGAGAAAAGGGCAAGACACAUCAUAGCUUUUCUUACCACAUAGAAACUUCUCAAGUUGAUUUUUCCUAGAUCCUUAGGAUUCCAGGACUUUCUUGUACCAUCAGCAUAGAAGGAAGAAUGAGAAUGUUCUUUCUUCACUCUAUCCUGUUAAAAUGUGUCAGCUUGGUUAGUUUAAAUUCUGAAAUUAGAUUCAAAGUUUACAAAUUAUAACACCAAAUUAGGGAGAAAACACAUAAUUAUCAAUAUUUCAUAUGUUCAAGUCCUAAUUACAAAUCCACAUAUAUACAUAUACAUAUGGGUUGUAGCUUCAUUUUGUUGAAGCUACAGUGUCAUAAAUACAUUAUCCAAUGGACGGGUUCAACAGUUACACGCCCAAGUCUUCCAUAAUUUACUCUUCCAACCUUAAUAAUAAAAAAACUAGACCUAGACAAGGUACAAUGAAGUCAAGGCGAAUUCACCUACAUCAUAUUAGACAGUCUGGACAGAGUUAGUACACAAAAGAUGUAAAUCUAGAAGCAAAUACAACCUACAAGUCCUUCCAGCUAUAGAAGACCUUGAUAAGAAUAGAAAAAUAAUAAACAAUUAGGAAGAUUUGAAAAAGGAUAUUGCAGAGCAAAAGAAACAAAAUUUGAACCAAACACAUCACUAGAGAGUCAAUAAAUGUAAUUCCAAACAAGGAACAAAACAGGCAUGCCAGAAAAUUCAGUUACUGGCAUAGGGCAAAAGGUUCAGGUAAUCCCAAUGAAAAGACACAAAAGAGUGAAAGAAAAUGGAGAGGAAAUGUUGGAUAGAGAAGACAAAGACAACAUAAUAUAGGCCAGGCGCAGUGGCUCACACCUGUAAUCCCAGCACUUUGGGAGGCUGAGGUGGGUAGAUCACUUGAGGUCAGGAGUUUGAGACCAGCCUGGCCAACAUAGUGAAACCCCAUCUCUACUAAAAAUACAAAAAAAUUUAGCUGGGCAUGGUUGUGCAUGCCUGUAAUCCCAGCUACUUGGGAGGCUGAGGCAGGAGAAUCACUUGAACCCAGGGGGCGGAAGUUGCAGUGAGCCGAGAUCAUGCCACUGCACUCCAGCCUGGGCAACAGAGUGAGACCCCGUCUCAAAACACACACACACAUACACACACACACACACACACACACACACACACACACACACACAAUAUAAGCUUAACUGAUGUUUCCAAAGAGACCUCAACAUGUGAAAUAGAAGAAAUUCAGUUGUAACAUAGAAAAUUUUCCUUGACAAGAUGCAUUCAUCUGCAGAUUUAAUAAGCAUACUAUAUACCAGAUAAAAUUAUGCAGAACAGUUGAAAAACAAGCUAGUUGUAUUUUUCAACUUCAAAGAAGAAGAAAAAAAGCCUUCAAGUGUCCAAGCAGGAAAAGAAGUCACCAAAAAGAUGGUGGUCUCAGGGGAGGAGAGAAUCCAACCAGCUUUACAAAAACAUUCCACUACAGGAGACAGUGGAGCUGGAAGAAAGAAUGUAUGAUUCAAAAGUAUUAUAUUACUCAAGCAAAAAACAAUAAGCAGACAUUCUCAAACAUGAACUCAGGAUUUUUCUUGAGAAACUUACUGGUAGAAGCCUGCCAACAACAAAAAAAAUUAAUUUAAAUGAGUAAUCCAGGAAUGGAGAAACCCUGAUGAAGAGAUUCAUAGUGAGUUUGAAUCAAUUUAAAUGCAGAAGUAAGGUAAAACAGUGUGGAUACUGGUUGCAGAAUAUAACGUAAAUAUUUUAAACCCUGAAGAUGAAAAAAUAAUGCAAGCAACAAAACUGGAAGAUGGGGGAAUGAAAAAUAGCAGAGCUAACCAACUUUCAUUGCAGCAGGUCAAUCAAUGAUGCCUAAAACCAAAUUGUGCCAUUUAAAAACUAAAGACACAAACAUCUUAAAACUUUACAAAAUAUUUUUUCUCAAUUUAAAGAGAUCUUUUAGGAACUAAUACAUUCCAUAGCAAAGAGUCUGUUUUCUAAAGUUCAGUAUUUCUUUCAGUGUAAUUUCAAGUAAAAUUAAUUUUAACAUUUCAUUUAAAGUAGUAGGUAUGAUAAUGUUCUUUUUCUUCAUCUGGGUGCAAGGCGCUAGUUACACAGGUGUGCUCAUCUUGUGAAAAAUUGUUGAGCUGACACUUAUGUUUGAACUUUUUUGCAUAUAUCUUAUACUUAAAUAAAUUUUUUGAAAUUCCAUUCACAUAAAAUUCUAGGGGGUGUGAAGAGAGGGGGUGAGAGAGUCAACAGUCUGAGGCAGUGACCUGGUUUGGAAUUAAAUGCUCUCAGUAAUUUUUGCAUAAAAACGUUUGUGAACCCAACUUAAAUGGGAAUAGGAAAGUAGUAAGCUCUCCAAAUUUUGGACCCUUGGGGCAGAAACCAUUGUUUUUGCUCUCUGCUCCUGUCAACUGCAGUUUAAGAAAUCCAGUGUUGGGAGCUUCCAAGCUUUAGUCUUGGAGAGGAAAUUCUAUUAAAACAAUGUUUUUCUGUAACCCCCCUAAAUAUUGUUUCUAAAAGUAUAUUUGCAUAGCACAUAUAUAGAUGGCUAUUCACCUUUGUUAUUAUGAUCUAUAGCUGAUGAUUCAAAAUAUCUGGAAAACUUAUAUCUACUCUACUUUCUACGAAGUCUGUAGUAGCUCUUUACUAAAGGUAGAAAAAAUCAUGUUAGUGGAGUUGUAGGAGUCUCCCUGUGCCCUCAUCUAUACCCUAAGUCUGGUCAGAGGUAUACUUGCUUAUCUAUAGUGUAUAUUCUUUUAACCACACUACUGUACAAAGAUUAGCUUUAACAAUUUGGCCUGCAAAGAUUGGACUUUAGAUCAGCAUUAAUCCUGGGCAGUCCAAAAUUCAAAUGGGGCACAUGAUUAAUUUCCUUGUUUCCUAAAUGGUUUCACAAUUAAUAGAAAUUUGGAAAUAAAUUUAUGGGUGUGCCAUUAAUAGACACCUUGAACUUUAUUAUAACUAUCAUUUUCUUUCUAGAAAAUAUAUUAAACAAGGAAACAUAUAUUUUCCAUCUCUAAGGCACAGGGUGUCUUGUAUAAUUUUAUUUUGCGCAAAGUGGGUGAUUACCUUGGCCGGAAGUAUAAGGUGCUUGUUUGUGGCAUAGGGUUCAGUCAGUAAUAUUUGUCAUAAAUGUUUAUUUGAGGCUACAUGGUGUCUAUCAAAAUGACCUCAUUAGUUUCUAUAGAAGAGACUCAAAUAUCUUUCCAAUCUUGAUCUAAACUAUUAGUAAAUGUAAAUACGAAUGCUGAGGUGAUUCACAUAGUAAUUAGAUCUUGGGUUUUAGAAAGAACAACCAUGAUUUACUUAACAAAAAGUCUAUUCCUGCAGAUCAUAUGAAGCAGAAAAAGAAAGUCUGAUAAGUAAAAGAGAAAAAGAGCAGCAUAGCCAGGUAUUAAAACACAUCACUCUCAUUUAGUCUCCCCAACUAGAAGGAGAUUAUCUAAAUCAUUGGAGGAAGAAUCCAGAAUAUUCCAAAUUGAUGAUUCUUGGGAGUUUAUGAAAUAUUAAAUUAAAAAAUUAAAUUAGUUUCAGACAGCACAUUCAGCUUUGUUAUAUCCAGGUUGAAGCAAAUUAGAUGCCAUUAAAAAUGGUCAGUUCAGCUGCUUUUAUAAAUGUUGUUCUUGCCUGUUAUAUCCAGGUUGAAGCAAAUUGGAUGCCAUUAAAAAUGGUCAGUUCAGCUGCUUUUAUAAAUGUUGUUUUUUACCUACUGUAGGGACCAUAAUUUUAAUGUGUUCAAACAAUUGGUUCAAGUGCUUCACACUUCUGUGUACCAUUUGUGUAAUUUCUCCAUGACAGAAAAACAGAAGGCUUGGGUUUUUAAUAUCUAAUGUCACGUUCAUUCAAAAUUCUAUUUUUUAUUUAUUCAAGCACGAUGUAUUUAUUUGCCUUCCUUCUAGAAUAUGACCUUCAAUCUACCUUCCUGAAACAGUUUUCCUUGCUUCUCCCCUCUCUUUCCCCAUCAAAAAGGCCAAAAGUUGAAAUGGGAGGAAUGGGAAGAUAAUGCACUCCCAAGCCCCUAAUUAUUUUGGAAUGCUCUGUAAUCUACUCAAAAAAGCAAGAUGUACAAGGAGGUCAAGUUCACCUACAAGAUACUGUCUAAGGCAAUAUAAUAAAUUAACAAAAAAAUUAAUAAACGGACCCACCAAAGUAAGUGACUAAUUCUAGAAUUAUGACUGCAUUCAUAUAAAGGCCAUAAAACAUCUGAGUAGAUUUGUGUUAAAAUAUCAAAAUUAGGUAGAAGUAAAUCAUCUCUAACAGACAUUCUACUUAUUUGAGAGGAUGGGGUGGCAGCCCACGUAGUGUAAUUAAAAAAGCAAAAUGUCUGGAGUCAGACCCAUCCCCCAUACCCUUCACCCCCAUGUAAAUUACCUCUCUUCCACUUCCUAACUUGUGAGCUCAGAGAAGACAUGUACUCUGCAAGCCUCAGUGUCUUCACCUUGCAGAGUUUAUGGAAAAAUUGAAGAUGAGGUGUGCUUCUUGUAGAAUAUCAGGUGCAUG
rnacentral:lncRNA from 1 species